UGGUUCUGGCAUCGAUGAAGAACGCAGCGAAAUGCGAUAAGUAAUGCGAAUUGCAGAAUUCCAGUGAGUCAUCGAAUCUUUGAACGCACAUUGCGCCCUUUGGCAUUCCGAAGGGCAUGCCUGUUCGAGCGUCAUUAUCACCCCUCGAGCCCUCGGCUUGGUGUUGGACGGUUUGGUUUUGGUGACAAGACCCCUCCUAAAACUAAUGACGGCGGCCUGUGCGACCCCCGGUACACUGAGCUUCUUAAUUGAGCACGUACCGGCUUUAGGGUUGACGGGGCCCGGUCUUCUCCCUUCAUGGGAAAUCACUUUUUCUAAAGGUUGACCUCGGAUCAGGUAGGGAUACCCGCUGA
rnacentral:misc_RNA from 1 species